GAUGAAGAACGUAGCGAAAUGCGAUAAGUAAUGCGAAUUGCAGAAUCCAGUGAAUCAUCGAAUCUUUGAACGCACAUUGCGCCCGCCAGCAUUCUGGCGGGCAUGCCUGUUCGAGCGUCAUUUCAACCCUCGACCUCCCUUUGGGGAAGUCGGCGUUGGGGACCGGCAGCACACCGCCGGCCCUGAAAUGGAGUGGCGGCCCGUCCGCGGCGACCUCUGCGUAGUAAUCCAACUCGCACCGGAACCCCGACGCGGCCACGCCGUAAAACACCCAACUUCUGAACGUUGACCUCGAAUCAGGUAGGACUACCCGCUGAACUUAAGCAUAUCAAUAAGCGGAGGA
rnacentral:misc_RNA from 1 species